UACGUAGGGUCCGAGCGUUGUCCGGAAUUAUUGGGCGUAAAGGGCUCGUAGGCGGUUCGUCACGUCGGGAGUGAAAACUCGGGGCUUAACCCCGAGCCUGCUUCCGAUACGGGCAGACUAGAGGUAGGCAGGGGAGAGCGGAACUCCUGGUGUAGCGGUGGAAUGCGCAGAUAUCAGGAAGAACACCGGUGGCGAAGGCGGCUCUCUGGGCCGGUACUGACGCUGAGACGCGAAAGCGUGGGGAGCGAACAGG
rnacentral:rRNA from 1 species